UACGGGGGGAGCAAGCGUUGUUCGGAUUUACUGGGCGUAAAGGGCGCGUAGGCGGUCGUGUAAAGUCACUUGUGAAAUCUCCGGGCUUAACUCGGAACGGGCAAGUGAUACUGUCGGACUAGAGUACAGAAGGGGCAACUGGAAUUCUCGGUGUAGCGGUGAAAUGCGUAGAUAUCGAGAGGAACACCUGCGGCGAAGGCGGGUUGCUGGGCUGAUACUGACGCUGAGGCGCGAAAGCCAGGGGAGCGAACGGG
rnacentral:rRNA from 1 species